UACGUAGGGUGCGAGCGUUGCCCGGAUUUAUUGGGCGUAAAGGGCGCGUAGGCGGCUCGGCACGUCCGUUGUGAAAUCGCCCGGCUCAACUGGGCGGGGUCAGCGGAUACGGUCGAGCUUGAGCAAGCUAGGGGGCAAUGGAAUUCCCGGUGUAGUGGUGGAAUGCGUAGAUAUCGGGAGGAACACCAGUGGCGAAGGCGGCAUUCUGGACCGAUAUUGACGCUGAUGAGCGAAAGCCAGGGGAGCAAACGGG
rnacentral:rRNA from 1 species